GCAGUCGACGGUAACAGGAGCUAGCUUGCUAGCUUGCUGACGAGUGGCGGACGGGUGAGUAAUGCGUAGGAAUCUGCCCUGCAGCGGGGGAUAGCCCGGGGAAACCCGGAUUAAUACCGCAUACGCUCUACGGAGGAAAGUGGGCCUCUGAUUCAAGCUCACACUGCAGGAUGAGCCUACGUCCGAUUAGCUAGUUGGUGGGGUAAGAGCCUACCAAGGCGACGAUCGGUAGCUGGUCUGAGAGGAUGAUCAGCCACACUGGGACUGAGACACGGCCCAGACUCCUACGGGAGGCAGCAGUGGGGAAUAUUGGACAAUGGGCGCAAGCCUGAUCCAGCAAUGCCGCGUGUGUGAAGAAGGCCUGCGGGUUGUAAAGCACUUUUGUCAGGGAAGAAACGGCCUGGGCUAAUACCCCAUGGCUAUUGACGGUACCUGAAGAAUAAGCACCGGCUAACUCCGUGCCAGCAGCCGCGGUAAUACGGAGGGUGCGAGCGUUAAUCGGAAUUACUGGGCGUAAAGCGUGCGUAGGCGGCUGAUUAAGUCGGAUGUGAAAGCCCCGGGCUUAACCUGGGAAUUGCAUUCGAUACUGGUCAGCUAGAGUCUGGUAGAGGUAAGUGGAAUUCCGGGUGUAGCGGUGAAAUGCGUAGAUAUCCGGAGGAACACCAGUGGCGAAGGCGGCUUACUGGACCAAGACUGACGCUGAGGUACGAAAGCGUGGGGGGCAAACAGGAUUAGAUACCCUGGUAGUCCACGCCCUAAACGAUGUCAACUAGCCGUUGG
rnacentral:rRNA from 1 species